UACGUAGGGGGCAAGCGUUGUCCGGAUUCAUUGGUCGUAAAGAGCGUGUAGGCGGCCAGGCAGGUCUGUUGUGAAAACUGGAGGCUUAACCUCCAGACGUCGACAGAAACCGCUUGGCUAGAGUCCGGAAGAGGAGAGUGGAAUUCCUGGUGUAGCGGUGAAAUGCGCAGAUAUCAGGAAGAACACCAAUGGCGAAGGCAGCUCUCUGGGACGGUACUGACGCUGAGACGCGAAAGCGUGGGGAGCGAACAGG
rnacentral:rRNA from 1 species